rnacentral:rRNA from 1 species
GUACACUCCUACGGGAGGCAGCAGUGGGGAAUAUUGGACAAUGGGCGCAAGCCUGAUCCAGCCAUGCCGCGUGAGUGAUGAAGGCCCUAGGGUUGUAAAGCUCUUUCACCGGUGAAGAUAAUGACGGUAACCGGAGAAGAAGCCCCGGCUAACUUCGUGCCAGCAGCCGCGGUAAUACGAAGGGGGCUAGCGUUGUUCGGAUUUACUGGGCGUAAAGCGCACGUAGGCGGACUAUUAAGUCAGGGGUGAAAUCCCGGGGCUCAACCCCGGAACUGCCUUUGAUACUGGUAGUCUUGAGUUCGGGAGAGGUGAGUGGAAUUCCGAGUGUAGAGGUGAAAUUCGUAGAUAUUCGGAGGAACACCAGUGGCGAAGGCGGCUCACUGGCUCGAUACUGACGCUGAGGUGCGAAAGCGUGGGGAGCAAACAGGAUUAGAAACCCCGGUAGGCCCAUGA